CUCUGAUACACUGUCUUCUCCAAAAAUAAUGAAAUGGCCAUCGUCGCUUCUUCCUUCACUGCCAGAUCUUUAUUUCGAUAAUCCUUUAUUUCUUGGCAUCGCCAACAAGCUCGGCUCCCAAGCAAAAGCUACUUGAUUUCCCAUCGAUUUUUGGAAAUCGAAACAAAUAUGUGUCUGUUUUUUGAAAUCGAAGUAUUUGCUAGUUUGAAACGGUAAAUAUGUUUUUGUCUUUGAAAUCGAAGGCUACUUGUUGCGUGGUUUAAGAAAAACUUUGCAAGGCAAUUAUACCACUGAUCCCAUUUCCGUCACUUCUCUUACUCUCAACCGCAAAGCCAUUUCUGAUGUAAUUCCUUUUUCUGUACAUUUUGAUUUUUUCACUUUUGCUUGUUUAAAUUUCUCAUCGAUUUUUUUUUUUUUUUUUUUAACAGGUUUCGUGCUUGAGUGAGUUCAAGAAUUUGGAAAGGCUAGAUCUUAGUUUCAACAAUUUAACUUCACUUGAGCUAGUAAUACUUAAACGUAUUUUUGUGUAAAGCUCUGUAUAGGUAGUAUUUUGGGGGGGUGGGGGGACCAUUUGAUGUAUCCGAGAUUUCUUUUAUUAAUUUGUACAUUUUUUUUAAAUUCAAGGUUUGAAGUCUUAUGUGAAUUUGAAGUGGUUAUCAGAUUUGCAGAACAAGAUCGAGAACUUGAAACGGAUUGAGGGCCUCAAUAAACUAACUGAAAGUAGCACAAAUCACCACACAACCAUAUUUUAUAUUUUUUUUUUCCUUGUUGAGUUUUACAUAUUUGAAGCUUUCAAGAGCUUUAUUUAAUUGCUGAAAUUUGAAUUCUAUUCAGAGUAUAACUAGGAUUUGGCUUUCAUCAGUAAUGAAGCUAUUGGUUGGAGGACUUGGAUUUCAGAGCCUUCCAGUCGCUGUAAAUGCUAACAUUUCAUCAAGUGCAAGUACGUGAAUUUGACGACAAUAAUUAGAAUCUGAUGCUGCCUUUUAUCAUCACAUACAUGGUAUUAAAGUUAAAUUUCAUUUCUAGCGUUAAUAUAUACAAUCCAUUGUUGAACAGAAUCAUCAUAUUUGAAUUGAGAAAUUGAGUUGAUUGUUAUCCUUCAUCUAGUCUCCAAUUUUAUUUGCUAUGAAAGUUAAUGAAAACUUUUUGUUAUUCACAGGAAUUGAAAGCUUUGAUGUAUGAGGAUUUUCUUAAAUCAAACAGAGUUUCAAAGGGCUUUCUAAGAAAUUUAAUUUUAUCAAGAAGUUUCAUCAUUUAUCCUUAACCUUAUUUUCUAUUAUUGGAAGUGUUUUUUUUUUUUUUUUUUUUUUUGGAAAAUUUACUCAGAAGAUUGAGUGAUCUUGAUCCUGAUGUUUAAUUCGUCUAGCUAUAUGUUAGGCAACAUUCUUCUACCCAAAAUUAAGCCACCUCUAGUAUAAUUGGUUUUAUAUACUUUGCUUGAUGAUAAUGUAAAAUGAGGACAAAAAAUGUUGAAUUAUCUUUAUUUUCUUCUACUGAUUUUUAUUCAUGAUGAACAGUUACUUUCUUUGCAUUCUUAUAAGUACAAGUUUCAUAACUUCAAAGUUACUGACAUGUCAUAUACCCUCACUGAAAUGGGAUUCAAGUCUUUUGUGGUUUACUAGGCAAGUAUUCAAUGCUAGAAAAAACAAGAUCAAGUCAAUAUGUAUUUGUUUUUUGAAAUCGAAGUAGUUGCUAGUUUGAAACGGUAAAUAUGUUUUUGUCUUUGAAAUCGAAGGCCACUUGUUGCGUGGUUUAAGAAAAACCUUGCAAGGCAAUUAUACCACAGAUCCCAUUUCCGUCACUUCUCUUACUCUCAACAGCAAAGCCAUUUCUGAUGUAAUUCCUUUUUCUGUGCAUUUGGAUUUUUUUCACUUUUGAUUGUUUAAAUUUCUCAUCGAUUUUUUUUAAUUUUUUUUUAACAGGUUUUGUGCUUGAGUGAGUUCAAGAAUUUGGAAUGGUUAGAUCUUAGUUUCAACAAUUUAACUUCACUUGAGCUAGUAAUACUUAAACGUUUUUUUGUGUGAAGCUCCGUAUAGG
rnacentral:lncRNA from 1 species